GACGAACGCUGGCGGCGUGCUUAACACAUGCAAGUCGAACGGAAAGGCCCUGCUUUUGUGGGGUGCUCGAGUGGCGAACGGGUGUGUAACACGUGAGUAACCUGCCCUUGACUUUGGGAUAACUUCAGGAAACUGGGGCUAAUACCGGAUAGGAGCUCCUGCUGCAUGGUGGGGGUUGGAAAGUUUCGGCGGUUGGGGAUGGACUCGCGGCUUAUCAGCUUGUUGGUGGGGUAGUGGCUUACCAAGGCUUUGACGGGUAGCCGGCCUGAGAGGGUGACCGGCCACAGUGGGACUGAGCGACGGCCCAGACUACUACGGGCGGCAGCAGUGGGGAAUGUUGCACAAUGGGCGGAAUCCUGAUGCAGCAACGCCGCGUGCGGGAUGACGGCCUUCGGGUUGUAAACCGCUUUCGCCUGUGACGAAGCGUGAGUGACGGUAAUGGGUAAAGAAGCACCGGCUAACUACGUG
rnacentral:rRNA from 1 species